UAAUCGACUCAGUGAGACCCUGUCUCUAAAUAAAACACAAAAUAGAGCUGGCGAUAUGGCUCAGUGGUUCAGUGCCCCUGAAUUCAAUCCCUAGUACCCCACCUCCUAAAACAAUUGUUCUCAUUUAUUUGGAUCCUCUAUCUAUCCUUUGGGGACUGAACAGGCAAGUGAUCUCUUGGUCACCUGGAGUUGCUGUACAAAUGCAGUUGGGGUCCAGUCAAUAGACACAGUACCAGCACUCUUGAGCACUCAUUUAUAACCCAGAAGUCAGCCCCAAACUUCUUUGCAACCACCUACACCUUCUUUUUUGAACCCAGGGCCUUUUGCAUGCAAGGCAAGCAUUUUACCAGAUGAAUUAUAUACCCUGCCCCUCUUGCAACUUCUUGAAUUAUGUUUUCAACUUUACCCAUAAACACUCCCCUUUAAGUGCACUCACUGCCCUCUCUCCUAGCCACAUUCUACUUCUACCAACCUUUCAAGCAGCCUGAGAGAUAUUGUCUCAGAAAAUACCCUAAGAAUUCUCUGGUUGAUCAUAAUCUUCCUUUGUGAUGUAAUUUUGUGAGACUGUCAUUAGGGUAUUUGCUUAAGAAGUCCUGGACUCCUUGGACUCUUCAGAGCAUGUUUGUUACCAAGACCCAGCAUUUAUAUAACUUGUCAGCUAGGACUUCUGCAACCCUUACAAACACAUGCAAGGGCCGCUUAGAUGAUCCUGCAAAAAUGGGCAAGGGAUUCUGCCAUGGGGCCACACUUUGUCCAUCCUAGGUGCAAGCACUGGGAUAGACAAUAUAAUACAGCCCUGCUCUUCCCACAAGAAUGGUUCUCUGCCUUCAACACUCUAGUUGAGAAAGGAGUCAUGAUUGGAAGUCAUUGAUAUUGGAUGUGAAAGAGAAGGUAGAAAAUCUCCAGGAUGAAGACAAGUAACCAGGUUGUAACCCCCAGAGCCUGUGUGCUUAGCAUUCUAACAAUGCCUAAGGAAGGUCAUCUCUCCAGCAGCCUUCAGUGCUGUGCUCCCAUAGGUUUCCCAGCAAAUAUAUAUUCCUACCUCAACUUCCUGAGAACCUGCUUGCUGAGAUUCCAUCCCAAGCCUGCUUUGUGCUGUUGUGACAUUAAAUUAUGAAAAUCACUGCCA